AGUGAACGCUGGCGGUAGGCCUAACACAUGCAAGUCGAACGGCAGCACAGUAAGAGCUUGCUCUUACGGGUGGCGAGUGGCGGACGGGUGAGGAAUACAUCGGAAUCUACUUUUUCGUGGGGGAUAACGUAGGGAAACUUACGCUAAUACCGCAUACGACCUACGGGUGAAAGCAGGGGAUCCUCGGACCUUGCGCGAUUGAAUGAGCCGAUUUCGGGUUAGCUAGUUGGCGGGGUAAAGGCCCACAAAGGCGACGGUCCGUAGCUGGUCUGAGAGGAUGAUCAGCCACACUGGAACUGAGACACGGUCCAGACUCCUACGGGAGGCAGCAGUGGGGAAUAUUGGACAAUGGGCGCAAGCCUGAUCCAGCCAUACCGCGUGGGUGAAGAAGGCCUUCGGGUUGUAAAGCCCUUUUGUUGGGAAAGAAAAGCAGCAGGUUAAUACCCCGCUGUUCUGACGGUACCCAAAGAAUAAGCACCGGCUAACUUCGUG
rnacentral:rRNA from 1 species